CUUUAACAAUCUGGAACAAGCUGAAAAUUUGAAACACUCAGUACUGUUAAGACAGUAUUGAGCGAGUCUCUCAACCCGCAUCUCCGAAGACACCUUCGG
rfam:Xenorhabdus poinarii str. G6 chromosome, complete genome.